CACACAGUAAACGAUAAUCACUAGGUGUCGGGUUCGUAGAGAAUUCGGUGCCGUAGCUAACGCGAUAAGUGAUUCGCCUGGGGAGUACGAUCGCAAGGUUGAAACUCAAAGGAAUUGACGGGGGCCCGCACAAGCGGUGGAGCAUGUGGUUUAAUUCGAAGCAACGCGAAGAACCUUACCCGGUCUUGACAUCCUAAGAAUCCUUCAGAGAUGAGGGAGUGCUGUUUACAGAGCUUAGAGACAGGUGC
rnacentral:rRNA from 1 species